GUGCUUGCCUCAGAAGCACAUAUAGUAAAACCAGAAUGAUACAGAGAAGAUUAGCACGGUCCCUGGGCAAGGAGGACAUGCAGACCUGUGAAGCAUUCCACAUUCUA